CCUACGGGUGGCAGCAGUGGGGGAUAUUGCACAAUGGGGGGAACCCUGAUGCAGCGACGCCGCGUGGGUGAAGGCUCGUUUCGGCGCGUAAAGCCCUAUCGGCAGGGAAGAAGGAGGACGGUACCUGACUAAGAAGUCCCGGCUAACUACGUGCCAGCAGCCGCGGUAAUACGUAGGGGGUAAGCGUGAUCCGGCUGUCCUGGGCGUAAAGGGGGCGCAGACGGCAGCGCAAGCCAGGAGUGAAAGCACGGGGACCAACCCAGGGACCGCUCUUGGAACUGCGCGGCUGGAGUGCAGGAGGGGCAGGCGGAAUUCCUGGUGUAGCGGUGAAAUGCGUAGAUAUCAGGAAGAACACCGGUGGCGAAGGCGGCCUGCUGGACUGCGACUGACGUUGAGGCCCGAAAGCGUGGGGAGCAAACAGGAUUAGAUACCCUUGUAGUC
rnacentral:rRNA from 1 species